CAGUCGCCGCGGGAACACGUAGGGUGCAAGCGUUAAUCGGAAUUACUGGGCGUAAAGCGUGCGCAGGCGGUUAUAUAAGACAGAUGUGAAAUCCCCGGGCUCAACCUGGGAACUGCAUUUGUGACUGUAUAGCUAGAGUACGGCAGAGGGGGAUGGAAUUCCGCGUGUAGCAGUGAAAUGCGUAGAUAUGCGGAGGAACACCGAUGGCGAAGGCAAUCCCCUGGGCCUGUACUGACGCUCAUGCACGAAAGCGUGGGGAGCAAACAGGAUUAGAUACCCCCGUAGUCCCUGUCUCUUAUAC
rnacentral:rRNA from 1 species